GACCCUCCGUUUCCCUGCUCUCCUUGUCCGCGUCCUCCCUCCCCCGAUCUCCUCCUUCCCUCCCUUGGCGCCGCCAGCUCCGCCAUUUUCUUCAUGUGCGGCGGCCGACGCAGCUCUCGUGCCUUCACAGUGCCGCCGGCUGGGAGCCGUUGGGACAUCGCCAGUCCCAGCCCAUCGCCACCGAGCGGAGACCAGCUCGCCGCGCAUCUGGAGCAACGGGUCGACGUGCUGCUUUCGCCACUGCCCCGACUCCUCCCGGCGGACCAUGGAUCCGCCAUCUAUGGAGAGCGCCAACUGGGUGAAGAUUUGCCGGACUAGCCGACUUGUGUGUCCUUGCCGUUGUCGUCGCCGCCGCCGCAGCCCCUCUCUUUUUUGGAGUCUUCCUUAUCUGGAGACAAAACAGUUUGGUGUCUUUGACACGCUUGGGAUCGACGGAUCAUUCAUGCCAUGGUUGGAUUUGAAUGGGGGCAGCCGUUUGAAAUCAAAUCAAAAGAUACACAACCUAAGAUCGAAAUAUUCCUACCUGAACCAAAGGGCAAGCUUGAACGCCAACAUCGGGAAGGUAUCUUGGCACCGAAUCAUCGCGAGGAGAAGGGGAUGUGUUGCUGUACAUGAGGUGUUAAUGAGGAGAAGGGGAUGUGUUGCUGUACAUGAGGUUCUACUGUUUGUGACGUGCUUCUUGUUGAUCAUCUGCUGCUUUGGCACCUCAAGGUUUGUGGUGACCCGCUUCUUCUUGAUCAUCUGCUGCUUUGGUUCGUCAAGGACCAAUGCUGGUGUCAGGACCACUACGAUCACAAACAAAGCCAAGUAGCUGCUGCUCCGCUCUCUACUGAAGAAGCAUUUGUAGGUUAUUCUAUGCAUAAGACUGCACUUUCAUGUGUCGUUUCCUUCAAGCCGACCAUAGAAUCCCGUAUUUUGUUUCAAAGAUGCAAGGAAAGAGAGUAAUCAUUUGGGUUACAGUAUUACAUGUGCUUCCUGUGAUGGCAAAUGUAAAUUUGGCACCUAUCCAGAUCAAAGAUAAAUGAGGAGCAACCAACGCUCUUUGUUUUGCUGAUGAGUAUGUGUUGAUCUGAAAAUGUGUCUAUGGUAGUUUAUGUUCUAAUAUACACACAACCAGUAAAAUGUGUCAUUUGUUUUCAGACUCAGUUGUGUGUUUCCUAUGCCUCUCUUGUGCUAUGUAUUGACUCUAUCUAAGUAUUUUGAUGU